CUGCCCCCUCUCUCCACUUGCAUGAUAAUGAGAGAUAUUCCUUUCCAAGCGGGGUGGAAGGUAAAUAACCCACCAGCGUGCUUACAUGGGAACAAGCUGAGCUUGUACUUAGUGAGCAUAUAGCUGGACAAGGAAACCUUUCACAGAAUGCAACCCGCAGGGCUUGGAAACACCAAGGAGAAGCAGCAUGUCCGCCCUAAAACUCAGGCAGGGACAGCUCCCCUGAUGUGUUCAGAGUUCGUGGGAAACAGGACAAGACCGGUGCUGCUCUGGUGCAGAGUGACUCAGGUGCUGGCUGCACUGAAUUGGGAUCACAUGAAAGCCUGUCGGAAAACAAGUUGCCAGUGGUUUUCUGGGAUGGCAUGAGGAAAAGGGAGCUUGUGUGUGUGCUUGGCUUACCAGGAGAAAGCGGUAUCCAUUAUGUGGCAGAGCAAGGCCGUGUGCUUCGCUGGAUGAACCAUGAGCCUUGGAAAGUCCAUCGGAUGCAGCCCCAGAGAGGUGGCUGUGUUUCUGCACUGUAUGAGGUGAUUCCAGAGUAUGAGCAAUAUUUGGAAGAAUCAGGACACAACUUCCCUCUUGAAUGCACACAGGAUGAGUACAGGCAGAGCACCGGGGUGAAUUUCCAUUGUCAUGCUUUCCAGAGCAGAGUCAUUAUCCGGAAGGAAAAUCACUUGUGUUCCCAGAUGAUCAUUCUGCUAUAUGUAAGAGGUAAGCAGUUUUAUGGAUGAUAUCUUCUCUUGGACUAUUGCA